CUCCGAUCCAUAAUUUCAUUUAGCAUAUAAGGCCAGUUCUCGGAUUGAUCAGCCAUGUGUAUGUUUGCUGCACAAAUGCGGAAACCGGGCCAGAGAACAAACCACGUAAUACCUUCAGUCCCAACCCCAACCCCAACCCGAACCCCUUGACCUUCCCGAAUCAAUAACCACAAUUCAUUGACGACAAUUCAAGUGCGCGAC
ensembl:ncRNA lncRNA:CR45718 long non-coding RNA:CR45718